rnacentral:rRNA from 1 species
UACGGAGGGUGCAAGCGUUAUCCGGAUUCACUGGGUUUAAAGGGUGCGUCGGAGGGCAGGUAAGUCAGUGGUGAAAUCUCCAAGCUUAACUUGGAAACUGCCGUUGAUACUAUCUGUCUUGAAUAUUGUGGAGGUGAGCGGAAUAUGUCAUGUAGCGGUGAAAUGCUUAGAUAUGACAUAGAACACCAAUUGCGAAGGCAGCUCACUACUCAAUCAUUGACUCUGAGGCACGAAAGCGUGGGGAUCAAACAGG